UACGUAGGGAGCAAGCGUUGUCCGGAAUCAUUGGGCGUAAAGAGCGCGUAGGUGGCUUUAUAAGUCCGUUGUGAAAGUCAAAGGCUCAACCUUUGAAAGCCGAUGGAUACUGUGAAGCUAGAGUACGGAAGAGGCGAGUGGAAUUCCUGGUGUAGCGGUGGAAUGCGCAGAUAUCAGGAGGAACACCAAUAGCGAAGGCAGCUCGCUGGGACGGUACUGACGCUGAGGCGCGAAAGCGUGGGGAGCAAACAGG
rnacentral:rRNA from 1 species